GUGGGGAAUAUUGGACAAUGGGCGAAAGCCUGAUCCAGCAAUGCCGCGUGAGUGAUGAAGGCCUUAGGGUUGUAAAGCUCUUUUACCCGGGAAGAUAAUGACUGUACCGGGAGAAUAAGCCCCGGCUAACUCCGUGCCAGCAGCCGCGGUAAUACGGAGGGGGCUAGCGUUGUUCGGAAUUACUGGGCGUAAAGCGCACGUAGGCGGUUUUGUAAGUUAGAGGUGAAAGCCUGGGGCUCAACCCCAGAAUUGCCUUUAAGACUGCAUCACUUGAACGUCGGAGAGGUGAGUGGAAUUCCGAGUGUAGAGGUGAAAUUCGUAGAUAUUCGGAGGAACACCAGUGGCGAAGGCGACUCACUGGCCCAAUACUGACGCUGAGGCGCGAAAGCGUGGGGAGCAAACAGGAUUAGAUACCCGAGUAGUCC
rnacentral:rRNA from 1 species